rnacentral:misc_RNA from 1 species
UAUGUAUGUUACCACAGAACUUUCGACUGGGUGGACCGAUUUCGAAGAUUUUUUUAAUCGAUAGGUGAUACGUAUCAUGUGAUCCCAUUUAAAUUUGAUCAAGAUCUGACGAAUCAUUUCUGAGUAAUCUUUGAUAACGCGUAUUUACUUAACUUUUUUUUCGUCUUUUUAUGUUGUAUUACUGGUCGAUGUAAAUGAACUCGUUUUUUUCGUUCGCGAGAAAA